UGGGAGAACCAAGGGAGUUGCAAUGGAAACACGAUUAUAGUUUGUUUACCAGUGACGGUCCCCCCAAAUACCACGUUCGGACUAACCAUUCGAGCGGUAGCGAAGAAAGACCGCAAGAGAGGUCACAAAAAACUUCUCUGAAGCCUUUCUCCAAGACAGUGCACACGGGUUUGUGGAUGUAUAGUGGGUGUAGGCGGCCAGGGACACUUUUUGGCGUCAGUAUGGCCUGCCCAAAUCUUCACUAAUGUUCCUUCUGC
rnacentral:misc_RNA from 1 species